AGUGAACGCUGGCGGUAGGCCUAACACAUGCAAGUCGAACGGCAGCACAGUAAGAGUUUGCUCUUACGUGUGGCGAGUGGCGGACGGGUGAAGAAUACAUCGGAAUCUACUUUUUCGUGGGGGAUAACGUAGGGAAACUUACGCUAAUACCGCAUCCGCCCUACGGGUGAAAGCAGGGGAUCUUCGCACCUUGCGCGCUUGUAUGAGCCGAUGUCGGAUUCGCUAGUUGGCGGGGUAAAGGCCCACCAAGGCGACGAUCCGUAGCUGGUCUGAGAGGAUGAUCAGCCACACUGGAACUGAGACACGGUCCAGACGCCUACGGGAGGCAGCAGUGGGGAAUAUUGGACAAAGGGCGCAAGCCUGAUCCAGCCAUGCCGCGUGGGUGAAGAAGGCCUUCGGGUUGUAAAGCCCUUUUGUUGGGAAAGAAGAGCAGCAGGUUAAUACCCCGCUGUUCUGACGUUACCCAAAGAAUAAGCACCGGCUAACUUCGUG
rnacentral:rRNA from 1 species